AUGCUGGUUUCAGCAGCACAUACACUAAAAUUGGAAUGAUACAGAGAAGAUUAGCAUGGCCUGCACAGGAGACACGCAAAUUUGUGAAGUGUUCCAUAAGGAG